rnacentral:misc_RNA from 1 species
GUUUCCAGCUGCGAGGUGACGGGAUGUAAUGCAGAGGAGGUCUGGUCGAGCUUCAGUGUCGACGUGUGUCUGAUGCUGGAGUGGAGCCCUGGAUCGACAACUCUUGAAGAAGAAGCUGCAGAGUUUUGUUUUUUGAAUAAUCCUGUCUCUUCCUUCCUCUCAUGAGCUUCAGCGUCGACGUAUUUGACCAACAGUACGGAAAGUUGUCGUAUGCAAGGCCCAUGAAA